rnacentral:rRNA from 1 species
ACGUAGGAGACGAGCGUUGUCCGGAGUUACUGGGCGUAAAGGGUGCGCAGGUGGCCGCGCGCGUGGGGGGUGAAAUCGCCCGGCUUAACUGGGCGGGGGCCUUCCAGACGGCGUGGCUUGAGGCGCGGAGGGGGACGUGGAAUUCCGGGUGGAGCGGUGAAAUGCGUAGAGAUCCGGAGGAACACCGACGGCGUAGGCAGCGUCCUGGCCGCGACCUGACACUGAGGCACGAAAGCUGGGGGAGCGAACAGGA